rnacentral:rRNA from 1 species
AACGAACGCUGGCGGCAUGCCUAACACAUGCAAGUCGAACGAGACCUUCGGGUCUAGUGGCGCACGGUUGCGUAACGCGUGGGAAUCUGCCCUUGGGUUCGGAAUAACAGUUGGAAACGACUGCUAAUACCGGAUGAUGACGUAAGUCCAAAGAUUUAUCGCCCAAGGAUGAGCCCGCGUAGGAUUAGCUAGUUGGUGAGGUAAAGGCUCACCAAGGCGACGAUCCUUAGCUGGUCUGAGAGGAUGAUCAGCCACACUGGGACUGAGACACGGCCCAGACUCCUACGGGAGGCAGCAGUGGGGAAUAUUGGACAAUGGGCGAAAGCCUGAUCCAGCAAUGCCGCGUGAGUGAUGAAGGCCUUAGGGUUGUAAAGCUCUUUUACCCGGGAUGAUAAUGACAGUACCGGGAGAAUAAGCUCCGGCUAACUCCGUG